UGGGGAAUCUUGGACAAUGGGGGCAACCCUGAUCCAGCCAUGCCGCGUGAACGAUGAAGGCCUUAGGGUUGUAAAGUUCUUUCGCCGGAGAAGAUAAUGACGGUACCCGGUAAAGAAGCCCCGGCUAACUCCGUGCCAGCAGCCGCGGUAAUACGGAGGGGGCUAGCGUUGUUCGGAAUUACUGGGCGUAAAGCGCACGUAGGCGGAUCAGUCAGUCAGAGGUGAAAUCCCAGGGCUCAACCCUGGAACUGCCUUUGAUACUGCUGGUCUAGAGAUCGAGAGAGGUGAGUGGAAUUCCGAGUGUAGAGGUGAAAUUCGUAGAUAUUCGGAGGAACACCAGUGGCGAAGGCGGCUCACUGGCUCGAUACUGACGCUGAGGUGCGAAAGCGUGGGGAGCAAACAGGAUUAGAUACCCCCGUAGUCC
rnacentral:rRNA from 1 species